rnacentral:pre_miRNA from 1 species
UACAUGUAUCUAAGAGUAUAAUAUGACUUUGAUUAUGACACACUUUGAGUGAUGUUGCCAUAAUCGAAGUCGUAUUACACUCUUAGAUACAUCAA